GGGGAAGGAGCACAGCUCAGCAGUAGAACAUCUGCUUUGAAUGCAAAAGGUCCCGGGUUCAGCCCCUGGUGUCCCCA